UGCGUGGUGGAGCAGUGGGAGCUUGCCAGAGUGCUUUUCUGGAGGGCGGGGGUUCGAUUCCUCCCUGCGCGA
rnacentral:tRNA from 1 species